AUACGGAGGAUGCGAGCGAUAUCCGGAUUUAUUGGGUUUAAAGGGAGCGUAGGUGGGAUAUUAAGUCAGCUGUGAAAGUUUGGGGCUCAACCUUAAAAUUGCAGUUGAUACUGGUUUCCUUGAGUACGGUAUAGGUGGGCGGAAUUCGUGGUGUAGCGGUGAAAUGCUUAGAUAUCACGAAGAACUCCGAUCGCGAAGGCAGCUCACCGGGCCGGAACUGACACUGAUGCUCGAAAGUGCGGGUAUCAAACAGGAUUAGAUACCCUGGUAGUCCGCACAGUAAACGAUGAAUACUUGUUUUCGGCGAUAUAAUGUCGGAGGCAAAGCGAAAGCGAUAAGUAUUCCACCUGGGGAGUACGCCGGCAACGGUGAAACUCAAAUGAAUUGGCGGGG
rnacentral:rRNA from 1 species